GCCCCGGUAGCUCAGCGGGAGAGCGUCCGGCUGAAGCCCGGACCUACGGGCUCCAUUCCAAUCCCGGGUUCAAAUCCCGGCCGGGGCACCA
rnacentral:tRNA from 1 species